rnacentral:lncRNA from 1 species
UAGCCCGGAAAGCAGCCAAUGAGAUGAUCUAGGGGGAUAGUUCUGUCCAAUCAUGGUGACAGUAAUGAAGAGGUCUCUGUUUUGGAAAUUUGAGCAAGAGAUUUGGAAGAAUUGUACGACAAUAUUCAGAGGGACUGGAGAAACUAAAAUUGCACCAAAGCUAGUGAGCAGGAGGACCCUGAGCCCCAGGGUUUGAAGCCAGGGAGGAGUGAGGAACAAGCAGAGCCAGCCUGGAAGGGAGCUUGCUAUCUUUAAAGCCACGAACAGGAGAUUCCUAGAGAAUUCUGAGGAAUUCUGAUUCCACCCCCCAGUGGUUACCAUGGUGAUGAAAAAAUCUGGACCCAGUGGAAAGUUCUCUGUGCUCUUGGCAACGAAGCUGCAGCACCCUGCCUCCUGCCUGUCUGAGCGUGGGCGGCCAGCUACAACUGCUGCCAGCAUUUGGGGCCAGCCGCUCUGCGUGGAGGACCAGCCCUGCCCCCGUAACAUUAGUGUGGGAGCCCUGGCAUCUCUGGCUCAAGGAGUCCUCGGGGAACCUCUAACCUGCCCUACUUCACAGGCUGCCGACUCGUCCAAGUCUGUCCAGGUCCCUGACUCCCCUGGGGUCUCUUUCCUGGGUCAGAGGUGACCUUCCAACUCAUCCUCUCCAGUUACAAAGUCCAGCCCGCAAUGGUUUCUCCUCUGCUACGGCCAGAGGAGACAGAGAGCUCUUGCCUCCAUACUCCUAUCGUCCUCCGGACCAAGUCCCAGUUUCUCAGCGUGGUCUGCAUGGCCUUGGAGACCAGAUUCCUGCUUAAUUCUCCAGCCUCCUUCCUCUUCACACCCAUGGCCUCUUCUGACACAAUGCCCUCUUUUGUGUUUAGGAACCUUUGUGCUCUUUCAUACUUCUAUGUCUCUGCCCUUUCUAUCCCUCCAACCUGAAAGCCUUCCUCAUCCGCAUGAAGAACACCCAUUCCUCACGUCUCUCAGGAACAUCCUGGCAAAGCC